rnacentral:rRNA from 1 species
UACAGAGGUCCCAAGCGUUGUUCGGAUUUACUGGGCGUAAAGGGUGCGUAGGCGGUUGGGUAAGUCUGAUGUGAAAUCUCCAGGCUCAACUUGGAAAUGGCAUCGGAAACUAUCCAGCUAGAGAGUUGCAGGGGGGACUGGAAUUCUCGGUGUAGCAGUGAAAUGCGUAGAUAUCCAGAGGAACACCGGUGGCGAAGGCAAGUCCCUGGGCAUCCACUGACGCUCAGGCACGAAAGCGUGGGGAGCAAACAGG